AUUGAACGCUGGCGGCAGGCCUAACACAUGCAAGUCGAGCGAGCGGCGGACGGGUGAGUAAUGUAUGGGGACUGCCCGAUAGAGGGGGAUAACUACUGGAAACGGUGGCUAAUACCGCAUACUAUCGGAUAACCCAUAUGGGAGUGGCUAGUAGGUGGGGUAAAGGCUCACCUAGGCGACGAUCACGAGCCGGUCUGAGAGGAUGAUCGGCCACACGGGAACUGGGACACGGCCCAGACUCCUCCGGAGGCAGCAGAGGGAAAUAUUGGACAAUGGGCGAAAGCCUACUGAGGCCAUGCGGCGUAUAUGAGGAAGGCUUUAGGGUUGUAAAGUACUUUCAGCGGGGAGGCGUUACCCAAAGAAGAAGCACCGGCUAACUACGUGCCAGCAGCCGCGGUAAUAC
rnacentral:rRNA from 1 species